rnacentral:rRNA from 1 species
UACGAAGGGUGCAAGCGUUGUUCGGAAUUAUUGGGCGUAAAGAGUGAUAAGGCCGAUCUUCAAGUCAGCUGUGAAAUCUCGGGGCUUAACCCCGAAAGUGCGGCCGAAACUAGAGAUCUAGAGUGAUGUAGGGGAGAGGGGAAUUUCACGUGUAGGGGUAAAAUCCGUAGAGAUGUGAAGGAACACCUGAGGCGAAGGCGCCUCUCUGGGUAUUAACUGACGCUGAUUCACGAAAGCGUGGGGAGCAAACAGG